rnacentral:rRNA from 1 species
UGGCGGCAUGCCGUUACACAUGCAAGUCGACGGUAACAGGUCUCGGACGCUGACGAGUGGCGCACGGGUGAGGAACACGUACACAAUCUACCUUAUACUGGAGAAUAGCCCCGGGAAACUGGGNGUUAAUAUCCAUAGCUUUAAUGAUCACAUGAGAAAUAAAGUAAAAGCUUCGGCGGUAUAAGAUGAGUGUGNGUCCCCAUUAGAUUGUUGGUGAGGUAACGGGCUCACCAAGUCGACGAUGGGUAGCUGGCGUGAGAGCGCGACCAGCCACACUGGCACUGAGACACGGGCCAGACUCCUACGGGAGGCAGCAGUAGGGAAUAUUGGUCAAUGGACGAAAGUCUGAACCAGCCAUGCCGCGUGGAGGAUGACUGCCCUCUGGGUUGUAAACUCCUUUUAUAUGGGAAGAAACCUCUGGAUUCACUCCAGAGCUGACGGUAUCAUAUGAAUAAGCACCGGCUAACUCCGUG